GCUGCGAUGGCCGAGUGGUUAAGGCUUUGCACUUGAAAUCCAGUGGGGAUUCCCCGCGCAAGGUCGAACCCUGCUCGCAGCG